rnacentral:rRNA from 1 species
GACAGAGGGUGCGAGCGUUAAUCGGAAUUAUUGGGCGUAAAGCGCACGUAGGUGGAUCGGUAAGUUGGAUGUGAAAUCCCUGGGCUUAACCUGGAAAUUGCAUUCAAUACUGCCAAUCUAGAGUACAGUAGAGGGAAGUGGAAUUUCCGGUGUAGCGGUGAAAUGCGUAGAUAUCGGAAAGAACAUCAGUGGCGAAGGCGACUUCCUGGACUGAUACUGACACUGAGGUGCGAAAGCGUGGGGAGCAAACAGG